rnacentral:rRNA from 1 species
GACGAACGCUGGCGGCGUGCUUAACACAUGCAAGUCGAACGGAAAGGCCCUGCUUUUGUGGGGUGCUCGAGUGGCGAACGGGUGAGUAACACGUGAGUAACCUGCCCUUGACUUUGGGAUAACUUCAGGAAACUGGGGCUAAUACCGGAUAGGAGCUCCUGCUGCAUGGUGGGGGUUGGAAAGUUUCGGCGGUUGGGGAUGGACUCGCGGCUUAUCAGCUUGUUGGUGGGGUAGUGGCUUACCAAGGCUUUGACGGGUAGCCGGCCUGAGAGGGCGACCAGCCACAUUGGGACUGAGAUACGGCCCAGACUCCUACGGGAGGCAGCAGUGGGGAAUAUUGCACAAUGGGCGGAAGCCUGAUGCAGCAACGCCGCGUGCGGGAUGACGGCCUUCGGGUUGUAAACCGCUUUCGCCUGUGACGAAGCGUGAGUGACGGUAAUGGGUAAAGAAGCACCGGCUAACUACGUG